GGGAAUUUUCCGCAAUGGGCGAAAGCCUGACGGAGCAAUACCGCGUGAGGGAUGACUGCCUAUGGGUUGUAAACCUCUUUUUUCAGGGAGGAACAAAAUGACGUGUACCUGAAGAAUAAGCAUCGGCUAACUCCGUGCCAGCAGCCGCGGUAAGACGGAGGAUGCAAGUGUUAUCCGGAAUCACUGGGCGUAAAGCGUCUGUAGGUGGUCAAAUAAGUCAACUGUUAAAUCUUGAGGCUCAACCUCAAAAUCGCAGUCGAAACUAUUAGACUAGAGUAUAGUAGGGGUAAAGGGAAUUUCCAGUGGAGCGGUGAAAUGCGUAGAGAUUGGAAAGAACACCGAUGGCGAAGGCACUUUACUGGGCUAUUACUAACACUCAGAGACGAAAGCUAGGGUAGCAAAUGGGAUUAGAUACCCCAGUAGUCAA
rnacentral:rRNA from 1 species